rnacentral:misc_RNA from 1 species
AAGAAUGUAUGCACGCAUUUCAAGAAUCCAACGGCCCUACAGAGUGCAACAUUAUUUCAACAUACAAAUUAUACAACAAUAACUAGCAAUAACUAUAAGCCAGGAGAAUGAACAAGUUCCACAGCGCUUGAUGCAACAAACCAUUCCCCAGAAUAUAAACAUAUUUACAGAGCCACAGUAAGUUACCUUAAUAUAAUGGCGAUAACGAUGGCUCAGUUUGAGGUAGCAGCCACGGACGAGACCAUCGACUCGGAUCCACAGAUAUUCUUGCCCCUGCAAAGUAAGUAGUAGCCAUUUUCUCCCCAGUUUUCACCCCACGAG